ACUCCUACGGGAGGCAGCAGUGGGAAUAUUGGACAAUGGGGGCAACCCUGAUCCAGCGAUGCCGCGUGUGUGAAGAAGGCCUGAGGGUUGUAAAGCACUUUUAGUGGGUAGGAAAGGUUGAAACAUGGAUUAAGAGGUCAUAGUUAAGUUUAGAUCGUUAUCCCACCAUAAACAGCACCGGCUAACUCCGUGCCAGCAGCCGCGGUAAUACGGGGGUGCAAGCGUUAAUCGGAGUUAUUGGGCGUAAAGGGUGCGUAGGUUGUUAUUUAAGUCAUGUGGGAAAUACCUGGGCUCAACCUGGGAAUGACGGAUGAUACUGAAUGACUAGAGUAUAGUAGAGGGUAGUGGAAUUUCCGGUGUAGCGGUGAAAUGCGUAGAGAUCGGAAGGAACACCAGUGGCGAAGGCGGCUACCUGGACUAAUACUGACACUGAGGCACGAAAGCGUGGGUAGCAAACAGGAUUAGAUACCCUGGUAGGUCAGU
rnacentral:rRNA from 1 species